rnacentral:rRNA from 1 species
GUGGGGAAUUUUGGACAAUGGGCGCAAGCCUGAUCCAGCCAUUCCGCGUGCAGGAUGAAGGCCUUCGGGUUGUAAACUGCUUUUGUACGGAACGAAAAGCCUCUGGUUAAUACCCGGGGGUCAUGACGGUACCGUAAGAAUAAGCACCGGCUAACUACGUGCCAGCAGCCGCGGUAAUACGUAGGGUGCGAGCGUUAAUCGGAAUUACUGGGCGUAAAGCGUGCGCAGGCGGUUAUAUAAGACAGAUGUGAAAUCCCCGGGCUCAACCUGGGAACUGCAUUAGUGACUGUAUAGCUAGAGUGCGGCAGAGGGGGAUGGAAUUCCGCGUGUAGCAGUGAAAUGCGUAGAUAUGCGGAGGAACACCGAUGGCGAAGGCAAUCCCCUGGGCCUGCACUGACGCUCAUGCACGAAAGCGUGGGGAGCAAACAGGAUUAGAAACCCUGGUAGUCC